AGGCUCGCAUGUGAGGUUUUGCCACCGAUAGUAAUCGAAACUCAGUCGCUUUGUUCUCAGAAUCCACCGGUAGAGCAAAUUUUAAACGCUCUGGUUCUGAUUCCCGACCAUUCAUUUCCAUUGGACGAGUGAUUCAAAGAUCGAUAAGGAGAUGAAAUCCUAUGGAUAUUUAAAAUUACACUUGCAUAUAGAAGAAGAUAUUCAGAACGGCUAGCUGGAGCCUAGACGGCAUCUUUCAGGAUAUUACUUUGAGUGUGGAGGAGGAAUACAGAAAACUUUCAGAAUAUUCCAAUUUUCAGUGAAGAAUCUUACUUCUUUAAAAUAUUGUAGAUUCUUCUUCUAUGUUUAGAUCCUUGAAACCGGGUAUGACUUUGUCAGUGAUUACUUAAGCUCUACUGUAGUUGUUUUAAUAGUCAAGUUUGGUGCCUGUUUAGUGCAGAUAUUAU